AUGCUCUUGUUGGCCUUUCAUCAAUCAGUCGUGGUCUUGAAGAUGUAGAUCAAGAGAAUCGUAGCAUUAAGAUCUUUGACAUUUUUUGAGUUUACAAAGAUAGCACCCAGUUGUUGGUUGGUCACUCAUAAGUUUGAGAAGAUUUUCUUUCUCCUCUCGAUCAGCAUUUCUUAGUACGCGUGACCUCUUCAUCUUUCAGACUGAUGAAUGCUUUACUCUUUGUCACUGAUGUCUCUUGCUCUCUUUCUCUCGUCUUGUCUUCAGACUACAAGAUUGACUGCAGG
rnacentral:lncRNA from 1 species